UAAUGUGCAUACUCUAUAGGCCUUGUUAGUUCCAGGUUCAAUAUGUGCACUAAGGUUCUUUCAAUAAGUUUUCAAUAAACGUUGAACCCAUGUGGCCCUCGACUUGAAGCUAAUUUUUGAUUUCGGCCCACUGCGUAUUUGAGUUUGACACCCCUGCUCUAGGGCUUCACAUGUACAUAGUUCUUACUGGAUAGACGGGGUUUGUGAGCGUUGGUUCCGGUGAAGUCAGCUAUUCACCAAGUUUCAUGAGUGUUUGAUGGACUGUAGUCGGUGUAGACAGACAAGGCUAUGCACCAAGUUUCAUGAGUGUUUGAUUGACUGUAGUGUGUGUGCCCAAAGACUUGAUUGGAACUGAAGAGCGCAGACAAGGCUAUGCACCAAGAGCUGAUUGGACUGAAGAGAGCAGAUAAGGCCAGUUCAUCGGCAGCUGCCAGGGGCUCUCUUCUCUCAACGUCCAGGUUUUCUGCCAGCUAUCAUGACAAAUUUAUAGAUUCAUUUUAAAUAAACAAUUGAGUGUGAAGUCAC